rnacentral:lncRNA from 1 species
CUUUGCAAUAAAUCUUGCUGCUGCUCACUCUUUGGGUCCACACUGCCUUUAUGAGCUGUAACACCGCGAAGGUCCGCAGCUUCACUCCUGAGCCAGCGAGACCAUGAACCCCACCAGAAGAAAGAAACUGUGAACACAUUUGAACAUCAGAAGGAACAAACUCCGGACAUGCCGCCUUUAAGAACUGCAACACUCACUGCGAGGGUCCGCGGCUUCAUUCUUGAAGUCAGUGAGACCAAGAACCCACCAAUUCCAGACACAUUUUGGCGACCCAGAUGGGACAAUCGCCUAUAGCUGAGCGGCGAGACAAUCACCUAUCGCCAAGCACCCAGGCUAGAAGGGACUCUACAUUGUACUUCUUUCUACUCC